GAUUGGGCGACUGGGUGGGAAAUCAAAAGAGGUUUGGUGGUCGAGUGAAGAAGACGCUCAUAGUGCACACACCUAUAUUCUACUCAAUUGUGAGGAUCCAUUGAUUCGUUAUUUUGAAAGGUAUAUCCACAACUGACGUAGACAAAAGGAAAGAUCAACACUUUAUAAAGUGGUUGAAGAAUCAGGUUGAUUUUGACGACGAUGCAGAUUAUCCUAAGUGGUUACAUGAAGUAAUUCAAUCUCCACAUGUAAAGGUCACCACCUCACAGAUGUAUUUCACACGAGGCUAUACUUUUCACACAUAUGAGUAUGGUAGACAGCGGGCGACCAGUAACUAUGGAAUAUGUGUGAAAGGGGAAACCGAUUUCUACGGUAUCUUGACAGAGAUUAUUGAAGUGGAAUUUCCAGGGAUAUUGAAGCUGAAAUGCGUCCUCUUCAAAUGUGAGUGGUUCGACCCCGUCGUCAACAGAGGUGUUCGGUUUAACA